rnacentral:rRNA from 1 species
AUUAUUAACCAGUUUUGAUUUAAGGUUGAUUCUGUCUUUAUGAUUAGUUUUAUUUUAAUUUUAUAUACUAGUUUUUGCGUGUUAUAAUGGGAUCUAAAAGGUUUAUUUUAAUUUAUUUGUAGUUUAUAAUAUUAAUUAUAAAUUUGGUAACAUAGAUUUAGUUAAUUUUAUUAGAAUUGUUGAAAAUUGUGCCAGCAU